CUCUAAAUUGACAAGUCACUAAAACAAUAUACACAUCAACAAAUCACUUUUUUCUCACACCUUUUCAACCCUACGCCGUUUCCAAUCCCUCCUUAGUCUUCUUCCCCUUAGUCUUCCUCUGCAGACCAACGCUUUCACCGGUUACAAAUCUUUUAUUCCUUAUUAAUCUUUCCAGCUUCCUUCUCUCUCCUUACUCACUAUAUAAGAUUGUUAGAUUCACAAAAAAAUCCUCUCACUAGAACCAACAGAGCUCUUCAUCGCCUCGGGGAAAACGAGUCGUUACCAAUGUAUACAGUUUUCUGGAAAAAUAAUUACUCCUUAAUAUUUGGAACGAGUAAGAACAAGCAGUUGAAAGAAUUGAGGGGGAUGGAGGAGUUCGAGCUCCAUCAUUGGUGGAGCUUACGGUUGAGGAUUCGGAGUUUACGGUUGUUGGACGUGUAAAAGGAAGAGAUGAAGCUUUACAGGAUAAGAUUCAUCAUCUGGUUAGUCGGAUUUUCUAACUUUCAAUCUCUGUUUUGAUGAUAAACAAUCCAAACCGAAUGGAACAACUGAAAAUGGGCAAAUUGAGUUCAAGGAGAUGUAAUCUUGACACAAUUUCAAGGUUCGCAUAGCGCAAGAACGACGUUCUAGCAAUCCCUGCUUCAUCUGGUCAUCACUUAGUCUUCUAAUGCUAUGACUCCAAGCAAAUGAUGCCUUUGAUGGUUCACUGACUGAACUGAAGAAAAAGAAGAAGUCAGUGAGUGUUUUAACAUUGUACCUAUUCGACUCUGGUGUUUCCAUGAAUAUGUGCCUCGAUUUGGUUUGGUUUUUAUGAGUAGGUUGAAUCAAGCUCAUUGAAUGAAGAAAGUGUCACUGCCGCAGAAGAUUUGGAUGAGCAUGCUAAUGAAGAGGAAGAGGUGGAGUAAAAUGUUUGGCAGCAGCAAUGUCACCCCUGUGAGGGAAGUUAAAUAUAUGAUGAGGUAAGUAUACAUUUAGACGAUUUUUUUGUAUUAAAGCAUCAGUUAUUUGAUGACGUUCACUCAUUAUCAAAAACGUUUUAGCAGCUUGAUUUUUGAUACCAGGACGUAUAUUUGCAACUUCUUAGUAGAGUCUUUAACAUUCUCCAUGCAAACAAUCCAAAGCUCGCUGGAGAUGAGUGUUGUACAGUUAGUCAGUUAUGAGGCCUCCUUAAGUUUUUUUGCAGGGGACAAAAAGAAGACAAUGUAUACCAAUCACAAAAUUAUAAUUUCUUCUCUCUUCUUUCAGUUCUAAUGAUUGGUUGUUAUUUGAGUUGUUGUGAUUUGUAUUAAUGAUGUUUAAAGGAAGAUAGAAUCUAAGAAGUCAGUUUCGAAGAUUAAUUAUGAAGUUGAGGGUGAGGAUGGUAGUGAAUAGGUUUGUAGUUGAUCUUUUAAAAUUACAUUUCAUUGUGUAUUAUUAAAAUUCAUGAUGAAACCGGUGACUAAGAAGUUGAAAUUUGUAGCAUAAGUACAGAUGGCUGAUCUCUUUGUGUUCUUUAUCUUUUAGUAAAACUGCUAUGGAAAUGAUUAAAAGAGAGUGAUUUUCUUCAUCAUUCUCUUUUUUUUAUACUUCCACAAAAUAUUUUAUUCUCCACAUGAUUUAGAUUCUUAUUUUAUAAAUUUUCUAUUUUGACAUGUGACUAAUUCAAAUAAAAUUCAUUUAUUUAGCCAUGAUAAUUGUGUUCAAACUCAUGCCCAAUUCUAAAUUUACACAUUUCUAACUUAUUGAAUAUAAUAUGUUUACGCAGAUAAAUUAUUAAUAAAAAUUAAAAACAACAAAUUAGUGUUAAAUAAGCAUAAGGAAUUGUAUUAAUCUUUAAUGAUGCAACUAAAUAAAAUAUAAAAUAUUCAGAAAUUUUCUACAUAUAACUAUGAAAUAGUAAUAAAUUAUUAAAUAUAAUGAAUAAAAAUUGAUAUUAAAUAUCAAUAUAAAAUGAAGAGUAAGAAAAAAAUAAAAAAUUAAAGAAAUUAAGUGCCAAACUAAAGAGGAAACAAACACAUAAAUUUAUACGCAAAUUUUAUGCUACUUCAAUAUAGAUGUGAAUAAGUUUGAACCAAGUAAUAAACGAUGAAUCCAUUAAUUCUUAAAAAUAAAUUAUUAAUCAUAAUGUUCAAACAUCUUUAAAAUACACAUCAAUAUAUGUAUUUCUUUUUGAACAACACAUCAAUAUAUGUAUAUAAUAAUUAAAAUGAUAUAUGAUUCUUGAUAUAUUAUGCAUAUAAUAGUAGUUUUUUUACAAAUGAUAAAGAAUGCAUGCUAACAUCGUAUUUACAUAUCAUUCAAAUCACCCAAGCAAUAAAAAUAAUUCUAAAUAUACCCACCAAAAUCUAAAUACAAAACACAAUUAUUUAUAGGCUUCGUCUUCAAGAAUUACACACAAAAAUA